GUGCUCACUUCAACAGCAUAUAUGUAAAUGGGAACGGUGCAGAGAUGAGCAUGGCCCUAUGCAAGGAUGACACCCAAAUUCAUGAAGCCUUCCAUGUUUUU
ensembl:snRNA U6 U6 spliceosomal RNA